rnacentral:lncRNA from 1 species
GGGGUUACCCAAAUGUUUUAAGUGUGUGACAAAUUGAGUUGGCAUGUCGGUUGGAUUUUGUUACUGCAGAAGGUAAGAAUCUCUAAUCACAACCACCUACAUUGAUUAUAAAUAUUUGGUAUCAUAUGCUAGAAGUUAUAACAUUGUAAGCUUGCAUGUAUUGUAAGCUUUGAUUCAUUGUGAUUCUAAAUUAUGUCAAUUAUAAAAGUAUAAGUAUAUAUAAAUAAUUUAUAAAGUGAUAAUGAUAAUAAAAUUAAAAAAAUAAUUUAAUGAUUUAAAAUUAAAAUAUUUAGACUAAUCAAAAUUUCGGAACGACAUCGCUACAAAUAGGAAUAUGGUACUUCUUUCAGUAUGGCCUCACCAUGGGUAGAAACAUGAUACUUCUUUCAGUAUGGUCUCGCCACAGAUAGGAAUGUAACAUUUUUAUCAGUAUGACCUCACCACGGAGAGGAACGUGAUAUUUGAGUAUGGCUAGUCAUGGACAGAAGCGUGACCAUGAAUAAUUCAAAUACUGAAAAUUCAGAUCCGAUCCACUUUACACAUAUUAUAAUAAUAUAAUGAAUGAGAAUAGUAGCUUGGUAAUAAUAUUAACCGAAAUAAUAGCAGUUCAAAAUGACAUCUUAAUCAAAUAAAAUUUUUGAUCUAGUUAGAUAAGAUAAGCAUAUCAGAAUUGCUAUUAAUGGAGUAUAGCAUACAUCUAAAUUGUUAUAUAUUGAAACUUGAUGAACAUCCUGAUAGUAUUAUUGAGUUGGACUUAUGAAUAUUUAAUUGUUAAUUGUUG